rnacentral:rRNA from 1 species
GAUUUACUUAAUAAGUAUAUGUUAACGUUGUAUAGUUAUAUAUUGAUUAUUAAGUGGUAAUGAUAUGUUUAUCGAUUUUCAUGAUAGCUAGUUUAUUAGUGAUUAUAUUUAAGUAUUGUAACAUUAAUACAGUGUAAGUUGUUUAAUGUUAGUUUAUAGUAUGGGGGAUAAGCUUCAUAUAAAGUUAUAGAGAGUGUUAAGUAUUAUUAGGUAAUUUAAGUAGAAUUAAUAAUGUUUUUCUUUAAAAGUAGUUUAAAUUAUAAUAGUAUUAGUUUUAAUUUCAUGUUGAGUAGUUAAUAAAUGCUUAUGAAUUUACAAGUAAGUAAAUAUAAUGUUAAUAUGAGUAUUAGUUGGAAUUUCAUUAGUUAAUAUAUUUAAAGAUGUUGUAGUUGUAAAUGGUUUAUAUUAGGAGAAAGUUAAAUAAGAUGAAGGAAUUCGGCAAAUAUUAAUCUCGCCUGUUUAUCAAAAACAUGUCUCUUUGUAAAAUAUAAAUAAAGAG